GACGAACGCUGGCGGCGUGCUUAACACAUGCAAGUCGAACGGGAUUUAGUAGACAGAAGCCUCGGCUAAAGAUUACUACUGGGAGUGGCGAACGGGUGAGUAACGCGUGAGCAACCUGCCUAUGACAGUGGGAUAGCCUCGGGAAACCGGGAUUAAUACCGCAUAAAAUCGUAGAAACACAUGUUUUAACGGUCAAAGAUUUAUCGGUCAUAGAUGGGCUCGCGUCUGAUUAGCUAGUUGGUGAGGUAACAGCCCACCAAGGCGACGAUCAGUAGCCGGGCUGAGAGGAUGAACGGCCACAUUGGAACUGAGACACGGUCCAAACUCCUACGGGAGGCAGCAGUGGGGAAUAUUGCACAAUGGGGGAAACCCUGAUGCAGCGACGCCGCGUGAACGAAGAAGGUAUUCGUAUCGUAAAGUUCUGUCCUAUGGGAAGAUAAUGACAGUACCAUAGAAGAAAGCGCCGGCUAAAUACGUG
rnacentral:rRNA from 1 species